CAGCUGUUUGAAUGAAAUGGAAGGGGAGGAGAGGGAAUGCAAAAAUACGCAUUUACUAAUAUUUUCAAUGGCGGUGAUCAAAAAUGGAAAAGACGGAGGAUGCUGCAGAUUCUGGUGGAAUAUUGGAAUGUGGGUACAGUUAGCUAUUGGGUAGGUGCUGAUGUAAUUUCUGGAGUUGGGCAUGUCCAAGGUAAGUGAAAAUGAAUUUUAAGUGUAAAAUUUAAAAUAAAGUGUUUUUUAAGUAAAAGUGCUAUUAGGAAUUUUUGGAAACUACAGUGAGUGUGAAAAGUGUGUGGA